rnacentral:lncRNA from 1 species
UUUCUUUGCAAUCCCACACAUAUAUUCAUAAAUACACAAGCAUAUUUUAUUUAUUUCAUUUUUUUAUUUUUCUCUUCAAAACACACACAAAAAAUAUAUAUAGACACACAAACACCACACUACAUACACAAACACAUCACAGAUAUAGACAGACACUCACACAUGCACAUCACACACACGACACAUGAAUCUCUCUUCUCCUUCUACUGCCAAUCUACUCCUCUCCGACGAAGAUCCGCCGGAGCACGUCAUUACUACCAGUCGGAGCUCCGGCGAGAUCCAAUCGCCGUCGCUGCCACCGAAUCUCCGACAGAUCCGCCACACCUCCAUUAGAUCCGAACAUAUCUCACUUCUCCCUCUCUAUUUCACUACCUCGUAACCCCCUCCGUUGUCAGCACCCGAAAAAACCAAGGGAAACACCAAUCCGCUGCUGCUCCAGUUUUCUUCCUCCGUUAAUCCACGAAGGCUCGUCGGAGGUGAUGACCGGCGAGAUCCAACGCAUUAUUACUGUUGCUGCACGCCUGAAAACAGGAUAGAUCUGGA